rnacentral:lncRNA from 13 species
AUGGCCACUCACGGAAGUGUAGAGUUUGAAAAACUUAGUCGGAGGCAUGGAGUAAAAAAUCCUGCUGCGGCUGGGUGUUCAGUGGAAGAAUGUAGCUUGGCUGUGGGUGCUAUCAUUGGGUAUGAUAGCAUCAAAUCAGCCUCAAGGAUGAAUAGCGCUGUAGUGAUAUUCUUAGAUUCAAUUGAAAAGGUGAAUAAGAUAGUUGAGAGGGGUGUUGUGUUGCGGGAGACACAGACGCCGGUAUUUCCGCUUAUGAAUCCGGUGAAGAAAGUUAUGCUUUCUAACGUGCCACCAUUUGUUAGAGAUGAAGUGUUAGAGCGAGAGUUAUCUCGCCAUGGUCAAAUCGUAUCUACAAUAAAGAAGGUUCUUUUUGGAUGCAAAUCUCCGUUGUUGAAACAUGUCGUGUCUCAUAGGAGACAAGUGCAUAUGAUUUUAAAAAAGGAAGGAGAUGAACUGAAUUUAGCGUUUAGUUUUAAGAUUGAUGGAUUUGAUUAUGUCUUCUAUGCAUCUACUGAAUCAAUGAAAUGUUUUGGAUGUGGAAGAGAGGGGCAUUUGGUGCGUAAUUGUCCCGAGAAUGAACGUGCUGAGCCUGGUAGUAGCUUUAGUGCGGGUGCAACUAACGUACCACAGCGAAGGGAUGAAAAUACUACAGGUGUAGGGGAAGAGAGAAGGUGGGCAGAUGUGGUUGGAAAAGUAGGAGAGGAAGGCAUUGUGGAUACGGGGGCAAUUGUGGUAGAUCAGAACAAAGAGGGAGGGGAAACAGUAGGUGAGAUUGCGACUGCCGUCGCUAAAUCAGGUGAAGAUGAACAGGUUGUAGAGAUGGGGUUUUCUUCUGGGGAGGAUAGCGAGAGUGAGUCAUCUGACGCGUCACAACAAUAUAGUGAGAUAGAUGGGGUGGAAGGGAGGUAUGGGAUCGAGAAGAUACGUCAAUUUCUGAAGUUGACAAAAGGGAAGAAAUAUAUGCAAGAUUACAAUGUAACUGAUUUUUCCCUGAACGUGAAUUGUUUAUUGAAUCAGCAAAGUUUCUGA